GCCAGUGUGGCAUAGUGGUUUGAGUGCUGGACCACAGCUCUGGAAAUGAGGGUUCAAUUCCCUGCUUUGCUA